GAUAACCUCACAGAGGCUGGCUCGUGCCAUGAACAAAUGUGGAGUGUGGAAGACUGAAAAAUGAUUUUUUCAAGGGCUGAUCAGUUUUGGUGCCUCCCAGCUACCACCAGCUACCAGCUACCAUGAUCAGGACUUCUUACAAAGAACAUGAAAAGUGUCUAUAGAGCUGUUAAAUAGCAAAAAGACACCAGUUUCAUGAAGAAUGUCAUCAAGGAGGACAUGGGAAGGGCAAAUUUUGGCUCAUCUACUACAUUGGCAGCUCUAAGAAAAGGAGACCUCAAACAUGGGACAGCUAUGGGAUCUACUAAAAGAAAAUGACAGUCACAGAAGAAGAGUAUGCUUAUCUCUGCUUAUGAUACAGAAGAUAGUGGAGGAUGUCAGCCAAAAGCCUAAUAUGAGACAAUUUAUACUGAGGAGCAUGGGAAGAUGCACCAGAGAAGGUCACGCUUUCAGUAAAUGUAGUAGAACCUGAACAUUCCAAAGUUCCCUGCAUCUGGCUCAAAAGGGGAGAAGCUUCUGCGGGUAUGAAGAUCCUGGGUUAGAUUCCCAUCACAGACCACUGUGAAACACUGUCUUUCAAAAUCAACACUC
rnacentral:lncRNA from 1 species